rnacentral:rRNA from 1 species
GGAUUAGAUACCCUGGUAGUCCACGCCGUAAACGAUGUGCACUAGACCGUUGCGGGUCUGACCCCGUGGUGGUCGGAGAGAAAUUGUUAAGUGCACCGCCUGGGGAGUACGGUCGCAAGGCUAAAACUCAAAGGAAUUGACGGGGGCUCACACAAGCGGUGGAGCAUGUUGCUUAAUUCGAAGCAACGCGAAGAACCUUACCUGGCCUUGACAUGCACGGAUUAGCUUUGGGAAACCAGAGUGACGCCCUCGGGUGGAACGUGCACAGGUGCUGCAUGGCUGUCGUCAGCUCGUGCCG